CGAGCUUGCUGGACAAUCGCUUCUUUCGAGAAGAGGAAAGUCCGGGCUCCAUAGAGCAGAGUGCCAGGUAAUCCCUGGGGGGCGCGAGCCUACGGAAAGUGCAGCAGAAAGUAUACCGCCAGCAUUGUUGGUAAGGGUGAAAAGGUGCGGUAAGAGCGCACCGCGCGACUGGUAACAGUUCGUGGCGAUGGUAAACCCCACUCGGAGCAAGACCAAAUAGAAACCCUAAGGUGUGGCUCGCGCUGGGUUUGGGUAGGUUGCUUGAGCCUGAUGGUGACGUCAGGCCUAGAUGAAUGAUUGUCCUCGACAGAACCCGGCUUAUAGGCAAGCUCGGCAC
rfam:Oleiphilus sp. HI0009 HI0009_c10, whole genome shotgun sequence.